rnacentral:rRNA from 1 species
AGCAGUCGCCACGGUAAUACGUAGGUGGCAAGCGUUGUCCGGAAUUAUUGGGCGUAAAGGGCUCGCAGGCGGUUUCUUAAGUCUGAUGUGAAAGCCCCCGGCUCAACCGGGGAGGGUCAUUGGAAACUGGGAAACUUGAGUGCAGAAGAGGAGAGUGGAAUUCCACGUGUAGCGGUGAAAUGCGUAGAGAUGUGGAGGAACACCAGUGGCGAAGGCGACUCUCUGGUCUGUAACUGACGCUGAGGAGCGAAAGCGUGGGGAGCGAACAGGAUUAGAUACCCCUGUAGUCCCUGUCUCUUAUAC